rnacentral:rRNA from 1 species
UACGUAGGGUCCGAGCGUUGUCCGGAAUUACUAGGCGUAAAGGGCAGGUAGGUGGUUUGGUAAGUCUAUUGUGAAAGCUCCCGGCUCAACUGGGAGAGGCCAAUGGAUACUGCCAAGCUUGAGUAUAGGAGAGGUUACUGGAAUUCCCGGUGUAGCGGUGAAAUGCGCAGAUAUCGGGAGGAACACCAAUGGCGAAAGCAGGUAACUGGACUAUUACUGACACUCAACUGCGAAAGCUAGGGGAGCAAACAGG